rnacentral:rRNA from 1 species
GACAGAGGAUGCAAGCGUUAUCCGGAAUGAUUGGGCGUAAAGCGUCUGUAGGUGGCUUUUAAGUCCGCCGUCAAAUCCAGGCUCAACCCUGGACAGGCGGUGGAAACUACCAAGCUGGAGUACGGCAGGGCAGAGGGAAUUUCCGGUGGAGCGGUGAAAUGCGUAGAGAUCGGAAAGAACACCAACGGCGAAAGCACUCUGCUGGGCCGACACUGACACUGAGAGACGAAAGCUAGGGGAGCGAAUGGG